UAGGGAAUUUUCGUCAAUGGGCGCAAGCCUGAACGAGCGAUGCCGCGUGAGUGAAGAAGGCCUCGGUCGUAAGCUCUGUUGCGGGGGAAAAAAGGACAGCAUCAGGAAAUGGGUGCUGACUGAUGGUGCCCCGCCAGAAAGUCACGGCUAACUACGUGCC
rnacentral:rRNA from 1 species